UCCAAAAGUAUAUUUGCAAAGCCCAAUUUCCAAAAGUAACGUAACCUAACCAUUACUCCCCACCAUCAGCUGUCAUUAAUUCAUCUUCUCCUCCAAGAGUCAAGAUGAUGAACAACCACAGCCUCCGACUUUCUUGUAACAGAAAACCAACCGCCGCCUCUAAGGAGCAGCCAGACUCGUCCGAAAGAUGGUCGAGCCUCGUGCUUCCACUGACGCCAAGCGCCAUGCCUUCUCUGCCCCUCGCUGCACGCGCCUUCGCCGGCGAUUCAAUUCCCAGUCCACGUGCAAUCCAGUCCGAUGAAGGAAUUAUCCUGGUACAAUUGCUCCGUAAAAGAAUGCUAGGUCUCUAUUUACGUAUUUUCUCACUAGGGUUCCAUGAUUGUUGGGCUUAUGGACUAAUAUAAUUGUAAAUCAACUAUAAUUACUUAACCCAUAUUAAUCUAAUUUUAGCCCAUUUCCUUUCCUUUUAA